GAUGAACGCUGGCGGCGUGCCUAAUACAUGCAAGUCGAGCGAACGGACGAGAAGCUUGCUUUUCUGAUGUUAGCGGCGGACGGGAGAGUAACACGUGGAUAACCUACCUAUAAGACUGGGAUAAAUUCGGGAAACCGGAGCUAAUACCGGAUAAUAUUUUGAACGGCAUGGUUCAAAAGUGAAAGACGGUCUUGCUGUCACUUAUAGAUGGUUCCGCGCUGCAUUAGCUAGUUGGUAAGGUAACGGCUUACCAAGGCAACGAUGCAUAGCCGACCUGAGAGGGUGAUCGGCCACACUGGAACUGAGACACGGUCCAGACUCCUACGGGAGGCAGCAGUAGGGAAUCUUCGACAAUGGGCGAAAGCCUGACGGAGCAACGCCGCGUGAGUGAUGAAGGUCUUCGGAUCGUAAAACGCUGUUAUUAGGGAAGAACAUAUGUGUAAGUAACUGUGCACAUCUUGACGGUACCUAAUCAGAAAGCCACGGCUAACUACGUG
rnacentral:rRNA from 1 species